CAGAUAUAAUGCAGAAACGAUAUGGGCCUGCUGCAGGUGUUUGCCACUGUACGAUGCAUUGUAUAUGAUUCGCCAAUUUUCCUCUAUCCUGGAACGUGGGCUUACGAGGAACCAUUUAAGAACAUCCUCCGGAAGCUGUACGGCGACGAGUCGGGCUCUACCAGCACAACACGCUAGAGACCCAGCCGGCACCGGGUGCCUCGAUUGCGCCGUCAGACAGUGUCGAGCGCGCUCGUUCACAACGUUCGAGACAGGAAUUCAACCUUUCGGAUCAUUAUCCUCCGCCUCACAAUAGCUGCAGCAGCAACAGGACCGAACCGACUGCACUACUGAUUGCGGUCAAAUACUGAUUGCGGUCCUGGCAGGAGAAAAAAUCCCACAAGUGUAUCGAACAGGCUACGGACGGACCCCGAAAAGGCCAUUCAUUCCCAACGGCCUAAGAUGUUUUUAGUGUUCAGUGGUGUGCGCGACCGU